rnacentral:rRNA from 1 species
UACGUAGGCAGCGAGCGUUGUUCGGAGUUACUGGGCGUAAAGCGUGCGUAGGCGGUGGUCCAAGUCUGGUGUGGAAAUCUCCCGGCUCAACUGGGAGGGUGCGCCGGAAACUGGGCCGCUGGAGUACGGGAGAGGCAAGCGGAAUUCCAGGUGUAGCGGUGAAAUGCGUAGAUAUCUGGAGGAACACCCGUGGUGCAGACGGCUUGCUGGACCGUGACUGACGCUGAGGCACGAAAGCGUGGGUAGCAAACAGG